rnacentral:rRNA from 1 species
UGAGGAAUAUUGGGCAAUGCCCGAAAGGGUGACCCAGCAACGCCGCGUGGAGGAUGAAGGUCGUAAGAUUGUAAACUCCUGUUAGAGGGGAAGAAUAACUAAGUUUGGAACUUAGUAUGACUGUACCCUCAGAGAAAGCCCCGGCUAACUACGUGCCAGCAGCCGCGGUAAUACGUAGGGGGCAAGCGUUGUCCGGAUUUACUGGGUGUAAAGGGCGCGCAGGCGGAAUGGAAAGUCAGUGGUGAAAUCCUACAGCUUAACUGUAGAACUGCCUUUGAUACUUUCAUUCUUGAGUUCGGGAGAGAGAGACGGAAUUCCAGGUGUAGUGGUGAAAUACGUAGAUAUCUGGAAGAACACCAGUUGCGAAGGCGGUCUCUUGGUCCGAUACUGACGCUGAGGCGCGAAAGCGUGGGGAGCAAACA